GAUGAAGAACGUAGCGAAAUGCGAUACGUAGUGUGAAUUGCAGAAUUCAGUGAAUCAUCGAAUCUUUGAACGCACAUUGCACCUCUCGGUAUUCCGGGAGGUAUGCCUGUUCGAGCGUCAUUUGUACCCUCAAGCUCUGCUUGGUGUUGGGUGUUUGUUCCGCCUCUGUGUGUGAACUCGCCUCAAAACAAUUGGCAGCCGGCGUACUUGUUUCGGAGCGCAGCACAUUUUGCGAUCCAGAUCAACGUACAGCGGCAUCCAAGAAGCCUUAUUUAACGCGCUUGACCUCGGAUCAGGUAGGGAUACCCGCUGAACUUAAGCAUAUCAAUAAGCGGAGGA
rnacentral:misc_RNA from 1 species